rnacentral:rRNA from 1 species
UUACCGAGUUUACAACUCCCAAACCCCUGUGAACAUACCUAUACGUUGCCUCGGCGGAUCAGCCCGCGCCCCGUAAAACGGGACGGCCCGCCCGAGGACCCUAAACUCUGUUUUUAGUGGAACUUCUGAGUAAAACAAACAAAUAAAUCAAAACUUUCAACAACGGAUCUCUUGGUUCUGGCAUCGAUGAAGAACGCAGCAAAAUGCGAUAAGUAAUGUGAAUUGCAGAAUUCAGUGAAUCAUCGAAUCUUUGAACGCACAUUGCGCCCGCCAGUAUUCUGGCGGGCAUGCCUGUUCGAGCGUCAUUUCAACCCUCAAGCUCAGCUUGGUGUUGGGACUCGCGGUAACCCGCGUUCCCCAAAUCGAUUGGCGGUCACGUCGAGCUUCCAUAGCGUAGUAAUAAUACACCUCGUUACUGGUAAUCGUCGCGGCCACGCCGUAAAACCCCAACUUCUGAAUGUUGACCUCGGAUCAGGUAGGAAUACCCGCUGAACUUAAGCAU